GAGAAAUCUACAUUUGUGGAAAACAAAAUCAGAACUCAACUUUCUCUCUCUCCCCACUAAUGGGUAGAAUAACCCUUGAACAGUGAAAAAUGCAAGGCAGUGUUCUAAAGUAUUUCUACUUGGACAAAACUAGACAUUGCUGUUAACAAUUUAACAAGAAAAAAAUUGCUCUUAUUCAGCAGUUUAAAAGGAAGAAGUUAAAACCUCAUUUCUGAAAGCCUGACCAAUUUGAGCAGCAGCAAAAGGGAG
rnacentral:misc_RNA from 1 species